rnacentral:ncRNA from 1 species
UUAAAGACUGCGAUGGGAAGAGUAGAUAUAGAUCCUCAAUUAAAGAGAGCCGAUUAUGGUGAGAUUUCGGCAUUGAGUUUAUGUUGAAGAACAUCCCUGAGUCUCUAACCGAAAUGACUUUAUAGUCAAAGUAGACUUAGACGGGGUCAGACCGUUAACAUCUGAGCAGUAUCGAGUUUAUCUCCGUACAUGCAGCGAGCGAACUAUAUCGUAAGAUCUAGUUACUUAGGGUGGCACCGCGAAAUCACAGCCUUUCGUCCCUUGU